rnacentral:rRNA from 1 species
UACGGGGGGGGCGAAGCGUUGCUCGGAAUCACUGGGCGUAAAGGGCGCGAUAGGCGGCGUUUUAAGUCGGGGUGGAAAGCCUGUGGCUCAACCACAGAAUGGCCUUCGAUACUGGGACGCUUGAGUAUGGUAGAGGUUGGUGGAACUGCGAGUGUAGAGGUGAAAUUCGUAGAUAUUCGCAAGAACACCGGUGGCGAAGGCGGCCAACUGGAACCAUUACUGACGCUGAGGCGCGAAAGCGUGGGAGCAAACAGGAUUAAGAUA